AGAGUUUGAUCAUGGCUCAGGAUGAACGCUAGCGGCAGGCUUAACACAUGCAAGUCGAGGGGUAUAGGGAGCUUGCUUCCUAGAGACCGGCGCACGGGUGCGUAACGCGUAUGCAAUCUACCUUUUACAGAGGGAUAGCCCAGAGAAAUUUGGAUUAAUACCUCAUAGUAUAAUGACUCGGCAUCGAGAUAUUAUUAAAGUCACAACGGUAAAAGAUGAGCAUGCGUCCCAUUAGCUAGUUGGUGUGGUAACGGCACACCAAGGCAACGAUGGGUAGGGGUUCUGAGAGGGAGAUCCCCCACACUGGUACUGAGACACGGACCAGACUCCUACGGGAGGCAGCAGUGAGGAAUAUUGGUCAAUGGGCGCAAGCCUGAACCAGCCAUGCCGCGUGCAGGAUGACGGUCCUAUGGAUUGUAAACUGCUUUUGUACAGGAAGAAACACUCCCUCGUGAGGGAGCUUGACGGUACUGUAAAAUAAGGAUCGGCUAACUCCGUGCCAGCAGCCGCGGUA
rnacentral:rRNA from 1 species